CCCUUCGACGUCUGGGGCCGCACGCGUGCUACAGUGGUGGUGGUAACGCGCGUUCCGUGCUCGUAAGGUGUUCGGGAAUCGUCAAGCUCCCCCAUGCCGGGGAUCGCGGCUUGCAAUUGUGCCUCGUGAACCAGGAAUGCCUAGUAGUCGCGGGUCAUGACCUCGCGUCGACUGCGUCCCUGCCCUUUGUACACACCGCCCGUCGCUCCUACCGAUUGAGUGGUCCGGUGAGGCUUUGGGAUCUGAGCGGAAAGAGCGUUUCGCUGUUUCUGCUCGGAAAACUCAGUCGAACCUUAUCAUUUAGAGGAAGGAGAAGUCGUAACA
rnacentral:rRNA from 1 species